UAGCUGCAACAGGCUGUACAAACAAUCCAUGUGUGAAUGGUGUAUGUUUUACUACUGGCUCUACUGGAUAUUCAUGUACAUGUGAUGCUGGUUGGACUGGUACUAAUUGCGACCUUCUAGCUGCUGACGCAUGUGCUAAUAAUCCGUGUGCCAAUGGUGUAUGCAUAUCAUUCACUACAUACUUUUCAUGUUCCUGUUAUGUUGGCUGGUCUGGAACUACUUGCAAUCAAGGAAUAUCAGUUGAUGCAUGUGCAAAUGAACCUUGUCUUAAUGGAGGUACAUGUAUAAAUGAAGAAACCUAUUAUAUUUGUUUAUGUACUCCAGACUAUUUAGG